rnacentral:hammerhead_ribozyme from 1 species
ACCCAUCUGACGAGUCCCAAAUAGGACGAAGCGUGCAU